rnacentral:rRNA from 1 species
ACGAACGCUGGCGGCAUGCCUAACACAUGCAAGUCGAACGAGACCUUCGGGUCUAGUGGCGCACGGGUGCGUCACGCGUGGGAACCUGCCCUUAGGUUCGGAAUAACUCCCCGAAAGGGGUGCUAAUACCGGAUAAUGUCUUCGGACCAAAGAUUUAUCGCCUUUGGAUGGGCCCGCGUUGGAUUAGCUAGUUGGUAGGGUAAAAGCCUACCAAGGCGACGAUCCAUAGCUGGUCUGAGAGGAUGAUCAGCCACACUGGGACUGAGACACGGCCCAGACUCCUACGGGAAGCAGCAGUGGGGAAUAUUGGACAAUGGGCGAAGGCCUGAUCCAGCAAUGCCGCGUGAGUGAUGAAGGCCUUAGGGUUGUAAAGCUCUUUUACCCGGGAUGAAAAUGACAGUACCGGGAGAAUAAGCUCCGGCUAACUCCGUG